rnacentral:tRNA from 1 species
UAAUGAGUAGUUUAAGCAAAACAAUAGGUUGUGGUCUUGUAGAUGGGUUAAUCCCUCAUUAG